rnacentral:tRNA from 1 species
GCUUUGUUGGUGCAGUGGUAGCAUGCCCUCUUAGGGUUUUUCAGACGUUGAAAAAACUCUGGGGGUGGUCCUCGGUUCAAUCCCGGGAUAAGGCC